rnacentral:lncRNA from 1 species
CCUUUCCGCCCUGUGUUGCCGGGUUAGGCUCCGGUUUGCCGCGGCCCCGCUUGGGGCAAGCAGUUUCGGAUAGUACUUCAUAGUUUUGACAAGUCUUUAUAAUAAAGUGUUUGUAAUAUAUAUAUACACACACACUUUCUGAACCACUGACUUGUCCCAUACGGGGUCACGGGGAGCCAGAGCCUAACCUGGCAACACAGGGCGUAAGGCUGGAGGGGACACACCCAGGACGGGACGCCAGUCCGUCGCAAGGCACCCCAAGUGGGACUCGAACCCCGGACCCACCGGGGAGCAGGACCCGGUCCAACCCACUGCACCACCGCGCCCCCAUAUAUAAAUAAAAUGUUGCUAUUUCGCAUUUUUCUGUUAUUUAGUUCAAGACUUUCGCGUAUUUAGCCCGUUUACGCUUCCUCGUGCCACCCGUCGACACGUGUUAUGGAGCACGUGCCUAGCUAGUAGCUAACGCUAACCUUGUCGGUUGUCGGUUGUCGGUGAUUACUUUUCUCUGCUCUUUGUCGUCUUUAAUUUAUACCCCAUCAGCUAAAACGAGAAAUGUCACAUUACAAGUUAGACAACGGAAUGGAAGAUUGCAAGUUCUUAGACAGUUUUAAAGACAAACGGUUAAAAUUAACCCUGAAGAGCGUCACGUACAUGGGUACGGUUGUGCGCGUGGGUCUGAACAGAACGGUGGUUCUCAGAGACGUGGUUGACAUCAGGAGUGGCAGGAAGCUCUCUGGAGUGAAGCUCUUCUUUGGUCAUGAAAUUGUGAAUGGUAGUAAACUAUGUGACUAAUAUAAUUGCUGUAGAUACAUUUUUUCUUUGUUUUCAAUGUGUCAGAUAUUGUGCAUAGUUUUCAUACAUGCACAUUGUAUUAAACUAUUAUAGUGCUCUACACCCAUCAGCCAAAAUAUUAAAACCACCUAUUUAAUAUUGUGUAGGUCCCCCUCGUGCUGCCAAAACAGCUCUGACCUGUUGUGGCAUGUACUCCACAAGACCUCUGAAGGUGCCCUGUGGUAUCUGGCACCAAGACGUUAGCAGCAGAUCCUUUAAGUCCUGUAAGUUGCAAAGUGGGGUCUCCAUGGCUCAGACUUGUUUUUCCAGCACAUCGCACAGAUGCUCGAUCGAAUUGAGAUCUGGGGAAUUUAGAGGCCAAGUCAACACCUUGAACUUAACAAUUUCUGCAGUGUGGCAGGGUGCAUUAUCCUGUUGAAAGGGGCCGCUGCCAUCAGGAAAUACUGUUGCCAUGAAGGGGUGUAUGUGGUCUGCAACAAUCUUUAAGUAGUGGUACAUGUUAAAGUAACAUUCACAUGAAUGCCAAGACCGAAGGUUUCCCAGCAGAACGCUGCCCAGAGCAUCACACUGCCUCCACCAGCUUGCCUUCUUCCCAUAGUGCAUUCUGCUACCACCUCUUCCCCAGGUAGAGGACACACACACACCCAGCCGUCCACAUGAUCUGAAAGAAAACAAUUUCAUCAGACCAGGCCACCUUCUUCCAUUGCUCUGUGGUUCAGUUCUGAUGCUCAUGUGCCCAUUGUAGGUGUUUUUGGCAGUGGACAGGGGUCAGCACGGGCACUCUGACCGGUCUGCGGCUACGCAGCCUCGUAGGCAGUAAGCUGCGAUGCACUGUGUUGACACCUUUCCAUCAUGGCCAGAAUUAAGGUUCUCAGCAAUUUGUGCUACAGUAGCUCUUAUGUGGGAUCAGACCAGAUGGGCUAACCUUCGCUCCCCACCCGCGUCAGUGAGCCUUGGGUGCCCAUGACCCUGUCGCUGGUUCACCGGUUGUCCUUCCUUG